AUGGCCAAGAAGGUGAAUGGAACAGGUGCAAAGAAGCCAACUGUUGAUUUAGAAUAUGCUUUGAAAUUUGUGUCUAAGGUUAAGACUCGAUUUAAACGUGCUCAUCAGCAUCAUGCUUAUCCAUUGUUUCUGAACAUCUUGAAUUCCUUUCGAGCAAAGAAAAAGAGUGUUGCUGACGUCAUUAUUGAGGUUAAUUUUCUUUUGAAAGGCCAUGAUGAUCUGCUGGACGAGUUUACUAAUUUUCUUCCUUGA